rnacentral:rRNA from 1 species
AGCAGUAGCCGCGGUAAUACGAAGGGUGCAAGCGUUAAUCGGAAUUACUGGGCGUAAAGCGUGCGUAGGCGGUGAGUUAAGUCUGCUGUGAAAUCCCCGGGCUCAACCUGGGAAUGGCAGUGGAUACUGGCUCGCUAGAGUGUGUCAGAGGAUGGUGGAAUUCCCGGUGUAGCGGUGAAAUGCGUAGAGAUCGGGAGGAGCAUCAGUGGCGAAGGCGGCCAUCUGGGACAACACUGACGCUGAGGCACGAAAGCGUGGGGAGCAAACAGGAUUAGAUACCCCCGUAGUCCCUGUCUCUUAUAC